rnacentral:rRNA from 2 species
UUCCUGAGUAGCGGCGAGCGAAACGGAAUUAGCCCAAACCAAGAGGCUUGCCUCUUGGGGUUGUAGGACACUCAACAUGGAGUUACAAAGGAACGGGGUAAAUGAAGCGAUCUGGAAAGGUCCGUCAAAGAAGGUAAAAACCCUGUAGUUGAAACUUCGUUCCCUCCUGAGUGGAUCCUGAGUACGGCGGGACACGAGAAAUCCCGUCGGAAGCAGGGAGGACCAUCUCCCAAGGCUAAAUACUCCCUAGUGACCGAUAGUGAACCAGUACCGUGAGGGAAAGGUGAAAAGCACCCCGGAAGGGGAGUGAAAUAGAUCCUGAAACCGUGUGCCUACAAGUAGUCAAAGCCCGUUAAUGGGUAAUGGCGUGCCUUUUGUAGAAUGAACCGGCGAGUUACGAUUUCAUGCGAGGUUAAGUUGAUGAGACGGAGCCGCAGCGAAAGCGAGUCUGAAUAGGGCGAAUGAGUAUGAGGUCGUAGACCCGAAACCAGGUGAUCUACCCAUGUCCAGGGUGAAGUUCAGGUAACACUGAAUGGAGGCCCGAACCCACGCACGUUGAAAAGUGCGGGGAUGAGGUGUGGGUAGCGGAGAAAUUCCAAUCGAACCUGGAGAUAGCUGGUUCUCUCCGAAAUAGCUUUAGGGCUAGCCUCAAGAUGAGAGUAUUGGAGGUAGAGCACUGAUUGGACUAGGGGCCCCCAACGGGUUACCGAAUUCAGUCAAACUCCGAAUGCCAAAUACUUAUUCUUGGGAGUCAGACUGCGAGUGAUAAGAUCCGUAGUCGAAAGGGAAACAGCCCAGACCACCAGCUAAGGUCCCAAAGUAUACGUUAAGUGGAAAAGGAUGUGGAGUUGCUUAGACAACCAGGAUGUUGGCUUAGAAGCAGCCACCAUUUAAAGAGUGCGUAAUAGCUCACUGGUCGAGUGACUCCGCGCCGAAAAUGUACCGGGGCUAAACGUAUCACCGAAGCUGUGGAUUGACACCGUAGGGUGUCGAUGGUAGGAGAGCGUUCUAAGGGCGUUGAAGUCAGACCGGAAGGACUGGUGGAGCGCUUAGAAGUGAGAAUGCCGGUAUGAGUAGCGAAAGAAGGGUGAGAAUCCCUUCCACCGAAUGCCUAAGGUUUCCUGAGGAAGGCUCGUCCGCUCAGGGUUAGUCGGGACCUAAGCCGAGGCCGAAAGGCGUAGGCGAUGGACAACAGGUUGAUAUUCCUGUACCACCUAUACAUCGUUUGAACGAUGGGGGGACGCAGAAGGAUAGGGUAAGCGCGCUGUUGGAUAUGCGCGUCCAAGCAGUUAGGCCGGAAACGAGGCAAAUCCCGUUUCCAUUAAGGCGGAGCUGUGAUGGCGAGGGAAAUAUAGUACCGAAGUUCCUGAUUCCACGCUGCCAAGAAAAGCCUCUAGUGAGAUGUAAGGUGCCCGUACCGCAAACCGACACAGGUAGGCGAGGAGAGAAUCCUAAGGUGUGCGAGAGAACUCUCGUUAAGGAACUCGGCAAAAUGACCCCGUAACUUCGGGAGAAGGGGUGCUUUUUAGGGUGAAUAGCCCGGAAAAGCCGCAGUGAAUAGGCCCAGGCGACUGUUUAGCAAAAACACAGGUCUCUGCGAAGCCGCAAGGCGAAGUAUAGGGGCUGACACCUGCCCGGUGCUGGAAGGUUAAGGGGAGAGGUUAGCGCAAGCGAAGCUUUGAACCGAAGCCCCAGUAAACGGCGGCCGUAACUAUAACGGUCCUAAGGUAGCGAAAUUCCUUGUCGGGUAAGUUCCGACCCGCACGAAAGGUGUAACGAUCUGGGC